GCGAGCAUGGAGCACGAGGAUAGCAUUUCGGCUGUUGCAUAUUUGCAUUUUUUGGUGGAACUUUGAUGACUGAUAAACAUUAUUGAAUAUGGGCAGGCCGAACAGGGAUCAUAGACUAACAUUCAUUCAAAAUUUUUCGUGCGGCGGGAUUGCAGGCAUCACAAGUCGAACUUUAACUUCACCGCUUGACGUGGUCAAAAUUGUGUCACAAGUCGGAACGAAUGAUUCUCGCCAAGGAUUUCUUCGAACGUUCAUUAAUUUGUACCAAAAGCAAGGACUUCGUGCUUUUUGGAAAGGGAACCUUUUGGGUUGCCUGAGACUUUUUCCAUUUUCUGCGGUUCAGAUACAUCCUUCAACUUCUUCAGAGUUCAAUUUCAGGACGAAUAUGGCCGAUGUUCGGGGUCAUAUGCUUUGCUGGCUGGAACUUUAGGCGGCGCUGUUGCCACAAUCGUGACCUACCCGACUGACAUGAUAAAAACUAGGCUGAUAGUGCAACACACAAAUACGCCUAGGUACAGGGGUAUUGUUCAUGCAUUCAAGUUAGUGCUUCAAGAAGAAGGACUUUUAGCAUUUUACAGAGGCCUAUUCGCUUCACUCGUUG